rnacentral:rRNA from 1 species
CCCUACGGGGUGCACCAGGCGCGAAAACUUUACAAUGCGAGAAACCGUGAUAAGGGAACUCUGAGUGCCUGUUAAAUCGGGUCUGACCAGUGUAAAAAACUGGGGAAGAAAGGGCCCAUGACCG